ACGCAGCGGUGGCGGUGGAGGUAGCAGGAUUGGGGGUGGCCGCGUCAGACACUGGCUCACAGUCUGGGCUUCCUGAAGGCAUCCAAAGAACCACCUGAUGCCUGCUGUUACCAGGUAAACAAGGAAAAUUAUAACUCUAACUAGUCAUCAACUUGCUCAGGGACCCAAGAAAGAAAUAAUACUGAGGAAGCAGGAAGUCCAAGCAAGGAAAUUCCAAACAAUGUGAGAAAUGAGAGAAACAGCUGGCUACUUGGUUGCUCAUCCAAAGUUCUUCUGCAAC